AAGGCCUUCGGGUUGUAAAGCUCUUUUGUCCGGAGCGAAACGGUUACGGUGAAUAGCCGUGACUACUGACGGUACCGGAAGAAUAAGCACCGGCUAACUACGUGC
rnacentral:rRNA from 1 species